AGGGCUCCACCGGUGAGGUUUGGAGUGUAUUCUUCCGGAUGGUUCUCUUAUAUUUGCACGUAUGUAAGUAAAUAUAUACAUAGCUUUUAUUUUUAUUAAUUUUUGGAUCAAACUUUCUUUUUCUGAAAUCUGCUUUUUGUUGGUGUUUUUGAAAGCAGUGACAUGACUGAAACAAAGGAGAAGACUAAGAACAGAGACCUUAUGUAAUCCACAUAGCUAAAAACCGCUGUUUGUAUAAUAAGGAGUUGCCUGCAUCACUUAGCUAUUUAAAGGAACAAAACUCUGCAAGGCAAAACCAGCUAUCAUCAAGGGAGCUGAUUCUUGAUGAGCUGGUUUAAAGCACUCCAGGUUUAGGAGGCCAGAUUGAGAGGCAGAUCAAGCAAGCAAAUAUGCCUGUUAAUGAUCUGUGCAUGUGGGUCUUUACCGCUUCCAAAACGUAUCUACUGGCUUUAAUUUUUGUAAGCUACAGUUUAAAGGAUGACGGCAAAACCAACUUGGAUGGCAAGAGAUGAAGACUAUAUUAAACCAAGAUCCACUCAGCUGCUGCAACUGGGUUAGGAAGUACAGAUUAGGAAGUGUGGUUGGUUUUCCUAAACCGGUCAUUUAUCAAGAGGUUUUAGGGAUUUCCCAGUUGGAUUCCUGGAGGUCAGCACCAGCCAACUUGAUAUUUGGAAAGAUUCAGGUAAACAGGAGCACUGUGAUGGGAUUUAGGAGACUUCACAGUUUGGGUGAACUAAGCAAGUGAUUUGAUCUUUCUAGGCUGCACUCUUCGUAGUCUGUAAAAUGGGGGCUGGUAGAAGAGUAAAUUGGCACAAGCCCUGUGGAGGUCAGUUCGAAAUAUCUGUCAAAAUUACAAAUGCAUUUGUCUUUAGACCAAUCCCAGUUCUGAGAAUUUAUCCUUCAGAUUGUGAAAUGACAUGUGUAAAAAGAUAUUCAUUGCUGCAUUAUUUCUAGUAUUAGAAGUUUGGGAGCAACCCAAUGGGGCUUGGUGAAAUAAAUUUCAGUACAUCUAUCUAUACCA
rnacentral:lncRNA from 1 species